GCUGAUGUGGCUCAGAGGUAGAGCAGCGCACUCGUAAUGCGCAGGUCGUGGGUUCAAUUCCCACCAUCAGCUCCA
rnacentral:tRNA from 2 species